CACUUUCAUGCAUUGGGGAAGGAAAUGGCAACCCACUCCAGUGUUCUUGCCUGGGGAAUCCCCGGGAUGGAGGAGCCUGGUGGGCUGCCGUCUAUGGGGUCGCACAGAGUCGGACACAACUGAAGCGACUUAGCAGCAGCAGCAGCAUUAUCGUUCAGCCCCUCCAAUUCAUCCCCACUCCGAGACCGAUCGCCACUGAUCCUCUCUCUUCUGAUCCCCUCUCUGUCCCCUCUCUUCUGAUCCUCUGAUGGUGCUGCCAUCCAGAGAUGACCUGGCUUACAGUAGUACUGAAUCUGGAACUCAUCAGACCUGCUGUUUUUCAUGCCCUGCACAGCAACCCAGGGGACUGACUUGCCCAAGGUCCUCCUGUAAAUGGAAUCGCUAGAAGCAGACCCUGAAUCCCUCACCUCUUCAUGGUGAGUGCUUAAUGUCCACCUUGGACUGGGGCUGUGUCCUAUUUUCUUAAGAGGGUCUACUAGAACAGAUAUUUCUAGCUUAAUGUUUAUAGUCAGAGAAGGUAGAAACGAACAAAAACAAUAAUCACAACACGAGGGUCUCCAGUUCUAAGGAAACUGUUGUCAGCGUUGAGGUCUGUAAUAGCCACUUGUAAAUGUGUAAUGGGAAAGGAGUGGGACUUGUGGCUGAUGUCAGCAGGGCAGCUUUUGUCAGAAGCUGCUCUUUUUGCUUUUCCUUUAGAAGCCAGAUCUGAAAGACCCAUUUUCCUCAGAAUUUCUGCUCCGAGGUAAGGCUGGAGGCCUCCUUUCACUCCUACAGUUCAUUUAGGCUGCACUCAGGGUGGUUUCCAAUCAGCAUGGAAACAUUUGUACCUUG
rnacentral:lncRNA from 1 species